CACGUAGGGUGCGAGCGUUGUCCGGAAUUAUUGGGCGUAAAGAGCUCGUAGGCGGUGUGUCGCGUCGGCCGUGAAAACCUGCAGCUUAACUGUGGGCGUGCGGUCGAUACGGGCAUCACUGGAGUUCGGCAGGGGAGACUGGAAUUCCUGGUGUAGCGGUGAAAUGCGUAGAUAUCGGGAGGAACACCAGUGGCGAAGGCGACUACCUGGCCUGUUCUUGACGCUGAGGCGCGAAAGCUAGGGGAGCAAACGGG
rnacentral:rRNA from 1 species